GGGACAAUAGCUUAGAUGGUCUGAGCGCAAGUCUGAAAAACUUGAGGUCGUGGAUCGUUACCACGUUGUCCCA
rnacentral:tRNA from 1 species